GACGAACGCUGGCGGCGUGCGUAACACAUGCAAGUCGAACGGAGGCCUUCGGGCCUCAGUGGCGGACGGGUGCGGAACACGUGGCUACCAACCCUUCGGUGGGGCAUAGCCGGGGGAAACCCUGGGUAACUCCGCAUACGCUCGAUGAGAGGAAAGGCGCAAGCCGCCGAAGGCUGGGGCUGCGGCCGAUUAGGUAGAUGGUGCGGGUAACGGCUCACCAUGCCGACGAUCGGUAGCUGGUCUGAGAGGAUGACCAGCCACACUGGGAUUGAGAACG
rnacentral:rRNA from 1 species